AAGACAUACAGGUCGAGCAAGGAUGAAAAUCGGACUUAGUGAUCCGGUGGUUCUGCGUGGAAGGGCCAUCGCUCAACGGAUAAAAGCUACCCUGGGGAUAACAGGCUUAUCUCCCCCAAGAGUCCACAUCGACGGGGAGGUUUGGCACCUCGAUGUCGGCUCAUCACAUCCUGGGGCUGUAGUAGGUCCCAAGGGUUGGGCUGUUCGCCCAUUAAAGUGGUACGCGAGCUGGGUUCAGAACGUCGUGAGACAGUUCGGUCCCUAUCCGUCGCAGGCGUAGGAAAUUUGAGAAGACCUGUCCUUAGUACGAGAGGACCGGGAUGGACGUACCUCUGGUGUACCAGUUGUCCUGCCAAGGGCAUGGCUGGGUAGCUAUGUACGGAAUGGAUAAGCGCUGAAAGCAUCUAAGCGCGAAGCCAACUUCAAGAUAAGAUUUCCCACCGCAAGGGUAAGACCCCAGAAAGACUAUCUGGUUGAUAGGUCGAAGGUGUAAGUGUAGCAAUGUAUUUAGCUUAUCGAUACUAAUAGGUCGAGGACUUGACCAAU
rnacentral:rRNA from 1 species